rnacentral:rRNA from 1 species
AGAGCGAACGCUGGCGGCAUGCUUAACACAUGCAAGUCGCACGGUUGGGGGGCAACUUCCGGCAGUGGCGGACGGGUGAGUAACGCGUAGGGAUCUAUCCAUGGGUGGGGGACAACCGCGGGAAACCGCGGCUAAUACCGCAUGAUGCCUGAGGGCCAAAGCUCGCGAGAGCGCCUGGGGAGGAGCCUGCGUCCGAUUAGCUAGUUGGUGGGGUAACGGCCACCAAGGCGUCGAUCGGUAGCUGGUCUGAGAGGACGAUCAGCCACACUGGGAUUGAGAACGGCCCAGACUCCUACGGGGGGCAGCAGUGAGGAAUUUCGUCAAUGGGGGCAACCCUGAACGAGCAACGCCGCGUGCAGGAAGAAGGUUUUCGGAUCGUAAACUGCUUUUCUCGGGGAAGAGAACGGACGGUACCCGAGGAAUCAGCCCCGGCUAACUACGCGCCAGCAGCCGC